AAGAAAAAAAAAAUAAUUAUGACUGAAGGAAGAAAUUCUUCAGUUCUGCUCCCACACUGAGCGCCUGGAAAUCUAAGACAGCUGGCUUUCUGGGUGACAUCUCCAACCAGAUACCUGCUGAAACGAGACAUGCUCUUCUAGCAUAGAUCUAGUCUGCCUAGUGUAAAGAUUCAAUCUGGAAAGCAGGCUCUAAGGCACAUAAUUAAAAAGAAGUUGAAAAUUAUUUAAACAUGAGUCUUAGCAGGGGAAAGCUGCGAUCUGAAUGUGUGCUUUAGCACACUGCAAAUAUUUAGUGGCUGUAGAUACAUGAAAUGUAUCCAUUGGCCUGGCUUCCUCUUGGAGGUGGGUGCCUUGAUACGGUGUGUGAGCUGCACACUCAAUUGACAUAGGAGGACAUAAACCCUGCUUAGCUGCAAAAAAUGGGACAUCAUAAGUAGUGGGAUAGUCACCUGCCUUCUUGCAGUCAGCAUAUUUGGGUUCAUUAUCAGCUGGGUUUAUCAUGUCAGGUUUAAUGCUUUGAUGUCUGUGGCUGAGUGUGGUUGGCUUAACACACUGGCACAAUGUUAAUGUCUACCCACAUUACAACAUAUAGACAUGCUAUGUCAUUGUUCCUAUGCUGGGCAGAUGGUGGUCUCAACAGAAAAAUUAAUUUAAAACAAUGGAAUUUUCUGUUGUAGAUAAUAAGAAAUGGAAGUGUUAGAUUUUGGGUCACAGUGUACAAAAAACACGAUAGGAAAAACAGCAUGCAUUGUUCCUGCAGAUAAAACCAAAAUAAACAACAAAACAAAGGCCUGCAGAAGCCAAAGAAGCUGCUAGAGAAAAUGUGAAAUCCACUUAAAAGAGAAAAAAGGAGUAAGUCAGCACAGCACUAACAGUAUUCAAGUAAAAGGUUUGAAAAAUGUCUGCAAUGAAGAAGGAAGGUAUGAUUUAUGAGCAAAAAAUGGCUUGUAUUUGAGCAAAGAAGCCUGUUUAUCAAGACUGUAUGAAAUCCCAAGUCACUGGAAAAAAAAAAAACAACAACAACAAAGAAAUGCACACUGGCAGUGUCACGAGGAUGAAAACGGAAGUAGGAAAUUUAUGUAUUGUACUGUAUGGAACAAAAUAGUUAAAGGUUGACAUGUUAUUUUUUGGAACGAGAAAAAUGGAAUUAGUGACAAGUCCCUUUGAGAUCCUUUGGGAUGGAAGAUGGCACAUAGUGGCAGGAUGCACAGUAUUUGCUGUAUUAUUAUAAUCUUUCUAAUUGUUCUGAGAAAUAAAAUGUACUUUGCUUGCCA